rnacentral:rRNA from 1 species
CUCCAGUUGAUCGCAUGGUCUUCUGGGAAAGCUUUCGCGGUAUGGGAUGGGGUCGCGUCCUAUCAGCUUGACGGCGGGGUAACGGCCCACCGUGGCUUCGACGGGUAGCCGGCCUGAGAGGGCGACCGGCCACAUUGGGACUGAGAUACGGCCCAGACUCCUACGGGAGGCAGCAGUGGGGAAUAUUGCACAAUGGGCGCAAGCCUGAUGCAGCGACGCCGCGUGAGGGAUGGAGGCCUUCGGGUUGUAAACCUCUUUUAUCGGGGAGCAAGCGAGAGUGAGUUUACCCGUUGAAUAAGCACCGGCUAACUACGUGCCAGCAGCCGCGGUAAUACGUAGGGUGUAAGCGUUAUCCGGAAUUAUUGGGCGUAAAGGGCUCGUAGGCGGUUCGUCGCGUCCGGUGUGAAAGUCCAUCGCUUAACGGUGGAUCCGCGCCGGGUACGGGCGGG